rnacentral:rRNA from 1 species
GACGAACGCUGGUGGCGGGCUUAACACAUGCAAGUCGAACGGAAAGGCCCUGCGUUUGUGGGGUGCUCGAGUGGCGAACGGGUGAGUAGCACGUGAGUAACCUGCCCUUGACUUUGGGAUAACUUCAGGAAACUGGGGCUAAUACCGGAUAGGAGCCCCCGUUGCAUGGUGGGGGGUGGAAAGUUUCGGCGGGUGGGGAUGGACUCGCGGCUGAUCAGCUUGUUGGUGGGGUAGUGGCUUACCAAGGCUUUGACGGGUAGCCGGCCUGGGAGGGUGACCGGCCACAUUGGGACUGAGAUACGGCCCAGACUCCUACGGGAGGCAGCAGUGGGGAAUAUUGCACAAUGGGCGGAAGCCUGAUGCAGCAACGCCGCGUGCGGGAUGACGGUCUUCGGGUUGUAAACCGCUUUCGCCUGUGACGAAGCGUGAGUGACGGUAAUGGGUAAAGAAGCACCGGCUAACUACGUG